GUGUCAGCCGCCGCGGUAAUACGGAGGGUGCAAGCGUUAUCCGGAUUCACUGGGUUUAAAGGGUGCGUAGGCGGCUAAAUAAGUCAGUGGUGAAAGCCCGCAGCUCAACUGCGGAAUUGCCAUUGAAACUGUCUAGCUUGAAUCUGGUUGAAGUGGGCGGAAUACAUCAUGUAGCGGUGAAAUGCUUAGAUAUGAUGUAGAACACCGAUUGCGAAGGCAGCUCACUAAGCCAACAUUGACGCUGAGGCACGAAAGCGUGGGUAGCGAACAGGAUUAGAAACCCCCGUAGUCC
rnacentral:rRNA from 1 species